rnacentral:tRNA from 1 species
GUCCCCGGAGUGUGGCGGAGGCACGCGACUCUACGAAAGUCGCAGUACAGGUUCGACUCCUGUCGGGGAUA